rnacentral:lncRNA from 1 species
UCUGAAGAGCUAAAGACUUCCUGAAAUUUAAAAAUUAGUGCUUUUAUUUGCUUGUCCUGCUAAGACCGUAGGCAAAGGCCAUCCUCCUCCCAUUGACAGUUUAGAGUGGGCAGAAACAACCACGGUUACCCUAGAAGUAAAUCCAGAGCUGCGGGACGCUGGAGGACAAAACCAACCUUCCAGGGAAGCCGAGGAGAAGUCAUGCCUUCAAAAGACGGAGUUUUGCUCUGUCACCCAGGCUGGAGUGCAAUGGCCCGAUCUCGCCUCACUGCAACCUCCACCUCCCGAGUUCAAGAGAUUCUCCUGCCUCAGCCUCCCAGGUAGCUGCUCCAGGCGCCCACCACCAUGCCUGGCUAACUUUUGUAUUUUUGUAGAGACGGGGUUUCUCCAUGUUGGCCGAGACGGUCUCGAACUCCUGACCUCAGGUGAUCCGCCUGCCUCAGCCUCCCAAAGUGCUGCGAUUACAGGCGUGAGCCACCGUGCCCAGUGAACAAUUUAUUUCCUAAUCAUCAUGAAGAGAAGAAAAAUAAUUAUUUAUUCUCUGUUCAUGCUGGCACUGUGCCUCACAUCUGCAAUCCCAGCAUUUUGGGAGGCCAAGGCGGGCAGAUCACUUGAGGUCAGGAGUUCGAGACCAGCCUGGGCAACAUGGGGCUGGGAAGUUCAAGAUCCAGGCCUCAGAAGAUUUGGGGUUUGGUGAGGGCCAUCUUCUCACUGUAGCCUUACAUGGUGGAAGAGGUAAGGCAGCUCUCUGGAACCUCUUUUAUAAGGGCACUAAUCCCUUUCAUGAGAACUCAGCCCUUAUGAACUCAUCGCCUCCUAAAUUCUCUACCUCCUAACACCAUCACUUUGACAAUCAGAUUUCAACAUAUGAAUUUGUGGGAGUCACCAGCAUUGAGACUAUAGCAACCCCUUAUUAGAAAUAAUUCAUGAGGAACUGAAACUGUUAGGAAACCACUGUGUAAAUGCUGGGAAACAAAGUCAGAUAAAUAAUGCUGAUAAUUACCUGACUGCUUUUGGAACUGUCCUUUUUUGUGAACAUGAGACUACAUCAUUGUCAGUUGAUUGCAGAAGAACCACUAUGAUAUUAUAAUGGGGUCCUGACUCCAUGACUGUGUAAUUCAUGGCUUUCUAACGGUUUAUUAUUGACCUAACUUUGCAGCUCCCCUAGAUCCCCUAACUCCACCAUCUUGGGUUGCAACCAAUGACCUGUUAUUGCAAAACAGGUAAUCUCACUUAGAUAAGUAUUAAUCAGAGGGGCUUGACUUCCAGAGUUCAUUUCAAUGGUUUUCAACUCAUUUGUAGAGUUUAACAUCAGUAGCCCUUUCUCUUCCAUAGGAGGGAGAUGAACCAUCCUGUUUGUUCAAUAAUCAGUGAGAGCGUGGCUUUAACGUCUCUUCCACUCCUUUCUAGUUCAGGUCUUUCUUAACUUGAUGGAGAUAGCUUGGGCCAGGGAGGGCAGAGUGAAGAUGAGAUGGCAAAAAAAAAAAAGUUUUGAUCAGCAGCAUUGACUCUGUGCUAAAUACUGUGCUCAGCUCUUUGGAUGUUAUUUCAUUGAAAUGGAAAGAACACUGUAAAGUUGUCUUGUGAGGCACACUUUCCUGUUGAGGAAAUAAAAGCAUUAAAUAACUUGCCCCCAAAUACAAAGCUAUUAGGAUUGAAACAAAGACUUGAGCCCGGGAUCUAUCUAAUUUCAAGGUCCUUGUUUUUUUUCUACUACAUUUCUCUUUGAGAUACAGUUACUCAAAGGUGUCCAAACUUCAGUUAAUGUCAACCUCUGCCUCACUCUGGUCCUGGUGCCUUUCCCAUGUUCCUGAGAAGAUCAUGUGGCACACUUCUCUAAACGUCUCUGUGCCAUAUCUCUUGGGAUCAAAAGGCCAUUCCAAUAAUUCUUCUGCAUUUCUUAAUGUAUGCUCAGAUGGCCCUGGUUUGCAUUUAGAGAAAGGAAGCUAAGACCUUGGUGAUAACUAAAUAUUUAUAUCUAUUUUUUGAUUAUGUGCUUGUAUUUAAUUAAGUGGGUGCCUACUGUUGUGAAAAUACUUUUGAAUACAAUUCUGAAGUUGUGCCAGGGAACUCUGACAAUGGGUAUGCUGGGAGCUGUCUGAUUUCCUUGUCCUAGACAACUCAUACAAUGCAGUAGAAAAAGAAUUCUUUAUUCCCACUGCCUUUCCUUAGCCCUUCUUCAGAGCAGGGGAAGUGUGACUGUAGCUUUAAAUAGUUUAAAUAGUCCUUCAAAUACGGCAAAUAAAACAGUAUCAAUGAAAAAGAAG